AUUGAACGCUGGCGGCAGGCCUAACACAUGCAAGUCGAACGAGGGGCGGACGGGUGAGUAAUGUCUGGGAACCUGCCCGCUGGAGGGGGAUAACUACUGGAAACGGUAGCUAAUACCGCAUACCAUCAGAUGUUCCCAGAUGGGAUUAGCUAGUAGGUGGGGUAACGGCUCACCUAGGCGACGAUCCCUAGCUGGUCUGAGAGGAUGACCGGCCACACUGGAACUGAGACACGGACCAGACUCCUACGGGAGGCAGCAGUGGGGAAUAUUGCACAAUGGGCGCAAGCCUGAUGCAGCCAUGCCGCGUGUAUGAAGAAGGCCUUCGGGGUGUAAAGUACUUUCAGGGGGGAGGCGGUACCCGCAGAAGAAGCACCGGCUAACUCCGUGCCAGCAGCCGCGGUAAUAC
rnacentral:rRNA from 1 species